rnacentral:rRNA from 1 species
GACGAACGCUGGCGGCGUGCCUAAUACAUGCAAGUAGAACGCUUAAGGAGGAGCUUGCUUCUCUGUAUGAGUUGCGAACGUGUGAGUAACGCGUAGGUAACCUGCCUGGUAGCGGGGGAUAACUAGUGGAAACGAUAGCUAAUACCUCAUAAUAGUAGAUGUUGCAUGACAUUUUCUUAAAAGGUGCACUUGCAUCACUACCAGAUGGACCUGCGUUGUAUUAGCUAGUUGGUGAGGUAACGGCUCACCAAGGCAACGAUACAUAGCCGACCUGAGAUGGUGGUCGGCCACACUGGGACUGAGACACGGCCCAGACUCCUAAGGGAGGCAGCAGUAGGGAAUCUUCGGCAAUGGACGGAAGUCUGACCGAGCAACGCCGCGGGAGGGAAGAAGGUUUUCGGAUCGUAAAGCUCUGUUGUAAGAGAAGAACGAGUGUGAGAGUGGAAAGUUCACACUGUGACGGUAUCUGACCAGAAAGGGACGGCUAACUACGUG